GGGCGCAUAGCUCAGGGGGAGAGCGCUUGCUUGACGCGCAAGAGGUCAGUGGUUCGAAACCACUUGCGCCCA
rnacentral:tRNA from 1 species